UACGUAGGGUGCAAGCGUUGUCCGGAAUUAUUGGGCGUAAAGAGCUCGUAGGCGGUCUGUCGCGUCGGAUGUGAAAAUCAGGGCUCAACCCUGGACCUGCAUUCGAUACGGGCAGACUAGAGUUCGGUAGGGGAGACUGGAAUUCCUGGUGUAGCGGUGAAAAUGCGCAGAUAUCAGGAGGAACACCGGUGGCGAAGGCGGGUCUCUGGGCCGAAACUGACGCUGAGGAGCGAAAGCGUGGGGGAGCAAACAGG
rnacentral:rRNA from 1 species